CAUCUUUUCUUGUUACCCCACUUAAUAUUAUCAAAAUGGACAACGUAUGGAUGAAAGCUAUUUAUAUAAGGAGAAAAUGGGGUGGAGAAAAAGAAAAAUGAGAAUGGGUAGGUUGAGGAAGAGUGUGGGUCGAGGUGGUGAAGGGAGAAAAAUAAAAACAGGAAAGAAAGAGGAAAAAAAUAAUGAGAGUAACAUGAUCACAAAAUAUAAAAAUC
rnacentral:lncRNA from 1 species